AUUGAACGCUGGCGGCAGGCCUAACACAUGCAAGUCGAGCGGAUGAAGGGAGCUUGCUCCUGGAUUCAGCGGCGGACGGGUGAGUAAUGCCUAGGAAGCUUCCUGGGAGUGGGGGAUAACGUCCGGAAACGGGCGCUAAUACCGCAUACGUCCUGAGGGAGAAAGUGGGGGAUCUUCGGACCUCACGCUAUCAGAUGAGCCUAGGUCGGAUUAGCUAGUUGGUGGGGUAAAGGCCUACCAAGGCGACGAUCCGUAACUGGUCUGAGAGGAUGAUCAGUCACACUGGAACUGAGACACGGUCCAGACUCCUACGAGAGGCACCAGUCGGGAAUAUUGGACAAUGGGCGCAAGCCUGAUCCAUCCAUGCCGCGUGUGUGAAGAAGGUCUUCGGAUUGUAAAGCACUUUAAGUUGGGAGGAAGUGCAGUAAGUUAAUACCUUGCUAUUUUGACGUUACCAACAGAAUAAGCACCGGCUAACUUCGUG
rnacentral:rRNA from 1 species